CAGCCUUUCCCUGAUGAAGAGGAGGGUGCUGUGGGCCCCGGACGGUGUGUUCCAGGGGUGCUUCUGCAGAAGACGGAGCAGGAAAUGGAGAUGCAGGCAGGAGCUGACUCAGGGUGACAGGAAGCCAUGGAAGGUGCUGUGUGAAAGAGGAACAUGGCUGUGCCCAUGCCAUGGGGUGAUCCCUGCAGCCAGGCAGGACCCGGGCCAGUGCUGGAGGAGACAGGAGCCCCUUGGAACCUUGAGAUUUAAUGCAUGGUGAGUGGAUGGCUGGGUGAGCCUGGAGCCAUGGAUCAGCCUGAUGCGCCUUCCCUGGGGCCUACCUGUGCUGGUCAUCAGGCUAGCAAGGUUGGCUGGGUCCUCGGCCCUGACGUGUCCACCAGCGUCACUCCGCACUGAGCAGGAAGGAUGCAGACAGAGGCAUUGGGGGGCAGCUAACCAGGCCAGGGUGUGGUGGCCUCUCUGAGGGGUGGUACUGGCUUGGCUCCAGGGUUGCUGAGCCAGCAGGAGGGAGCAUUCCAGACAGGGGAGCAGUCAAGGCAGAGGCUCCAUGUGGAAAGGGGGCUCCUGGCAGCCGCCGCCCGCUUUCAGGGAGCAGGAGCCCCAGCCUGUGCUCUGUCCUCUAGGACCAAGCAAGGAGGCAGCCUCACCUUUCCGGCUGACUGUGUGAGCACAUGGGCCACUGUUUUUAGCCAUGGAACCACUUCCUCCAGCUCCACCAGCUGCCUCCCUGAGUCACCGCCCCUUCCCUGGUGGGGAGGGAAUUAGGCACCUCUGGACCUUCAGGAUGUAGUUUUUGCCAUGUGUGGAAAAAGGGGCAGAGAGGACUGGGCAGAGGGCAUGUGACCCUCCAGGGAGGCUGUUUUUAUUCCAGUUUCAUUCCAGUUAACUGACUUGUUCACAUAGUAUGCAGGAUGGGAGUUCAAAUCUAUCAGUCCUGGUGGAAUCACUGUCCCCAUUUUACAGAUGGGGAAACAGAGGUUUAGAGAGGCAAAUAUACUUGCUCAAGGUCACAAAGCAAGCAAGUAGAGAUGCCAGAAACUGAGUCCUUCACCUUGUCUGUAUAAUAGACAGCCAGUGCCUUGCUAGUGUACUUACCAUGUGCCACUCUGCAAAUAUUAAGUCACGUAAUCCUUCCAACUGACGGCAGUAGGACGGUGAGUGUUCCCAUUUACAGAUGAGGACAACACAGAGAAGGGAAGCAACUCCCCCAAAGUCAGGGCUAGGAAGUAAGGGAGCUGGGAUGUGAC
rnacentral:lncRNA from 1 species